GAAUGCCACGCUUUUCAAAGUGUCUGAGUGAUAGGCACUUUCUAAAUAUGUACAGCGAUGGUCUGAUAAGCAACUAAGCGUCUGGCUUCGUGGGUUCAUGCCCCGAGGCCGUGCGGCCGGGGGAGGGUUGGGGGCUCAGCUCCAACCUCAGCUCCUCCUUACAGGCCCGGCUUGGAAACGGUCCCGUUCACUGCUGGGGUUCCCAUUUUCCCAUUUUUACUUCUGGGACUGGAAGAACACAAGAGACAUCUCCCCACCCCCAUCUCCUGCAUCCUGCCCGCGACUCAGCCCAGGUGACCCAAAAGGCUGAGUCAACUUGGUGCAACCGGAGCGUCCCCAUCACGCCGGCCGCCCCCAGCCCCCUUCGCCCCUCGCUUGGCCCCACAAUGCGCCCUUGUGCAGCGCCUGCAGUCAGGCCGGGGAUUUGGCCCAGGGAUGGGGAGAAUAUUCGUCAGAUAUUUAAAACAGAGCCGAGAGAACAAAGCAGGCCUUUGUGCAGCGAGGCGGCCCGGGAGCUGGGAGCCGGGCUACCCUCCCUUCCUCCUCCGAGCGCACAGGGCUGGGCCAGGCGAAUGCGCAUGCGUGCAGCGACCAGCGGUUCCGGGCCAGCUUCUACCCCAGGUAAGCCGGGCGCUGCGUUAGCCCCUUCCCGCCCUGCGCCCCCGGCGGCCGGAAGCAGAAGCUGGCUCUAGUCCGCAGGCGGCUGCAUGUGUAACUGAAAAAAGAAAUAGUCAUCCUCCAUGUUUCUAUAGGACGCACAGAUCAGGAUAAAAUGAUACACCACUUGAGAAGCCAGAUUUUAAAUGACUGGAAAUAAUAGGACACUUGAGUCAUGUAAAAAUCAAGAUAUUUGGAAAAUAGGCCAUUUUCGGAUGCUAGAAGUGGAACCUUUUGAUAGGCACAGGCUUCUUCCGGGUUGUUAAUGCUGGAAGACCGGCUCUUUCAUUUUUCUGUUCACCGUCACUUGGAAUUUGGAAGACGUGUUGGUUGUUGUCAAGGGCCCAGCUUUUGUUUUAGGUUGUGGGCUGACUGGACGGUGUUUAUUUAUUUUUUUAAAAAAAUAACUAAAUAGCCAAAUACAAGGAUGCAUGGUACAAAGAUGAGAUUGUGUCAUGAACCAAGAAAUGUAUAAUUAAUGAAAUUUUAUGCAGAAGAAAGGGGAAAAGAGUAGCUAUUAAAUACAUGUUGUUGGGGAAGAAGAUUGAAAGUUUUCUCAAGUAGGAUAGACUAGGAGUGAGUUGGUGGAAGGUGGCAUAUGCAAAGUACUCCCAUUCUGCUUUAUAUUGACAGUGUUUGCACCCCAUAGGUAAUGGGUGCUAGCAGACAGAGGUUAGAGGAAGCCAGUGGCCGGCUUAGAAGUCAGUUAUUGUGCUUGAAUCAUUCAGAUGGGUGAGAAAGGCAGUCCCAACCAGAUGAUCUCACAGCCUUCCAAACGCAGCUCCUGGAGCAUGUUCAGUGAGGUUAGCUGGACCUCCCCAUCAAACAAGUCAGGGGGCGCGCAAGGACUCAAACGGGGUCUCAUGACUUGUAGCCUAAGUCUCUGUAGUAGCCCACCGUGCGCCAACUGUGGACACACAUCUGAGGAAUUUAUGGCUUUCUUUUUCCUUCAUAGCUCAAUUACCUGGUGGUCACAAGAAAGCAAAGGGAUUUUUAUGUGACUUCAUUUUGGCAAGAAGCUCCCUUACCAACCUUGACCUCCAGGUGUCCAUGGCAAAUGCUGCUGGGACAUCAUUGGCACCAGAUCAUGUCCGUUAAAUGCCACGCUGCAGCAAGGACAGAUAAACAUUUUCAUGGCAACAGUCACGUAGCAAACUCAUUCUUAAAUGUGGGCUGGUUAGUUAGGAUGAUGUAAGUGGUUUUUUUCCACUCUCUUCCACAUUCUGGCUCCAGAAUUCUAGGCCUAGGACAUAGUCAAAGAAUGUACCUUGGGGUAUGAGGUAAGAAAACAGGCUGGGGUGGGGACUUGAAGUACCUUCUAGAUACAAGGACAAAUUAUCUUUCCUUUCCCAGGUGAGAGUUCAUUUUCUGUCUUGGUUCAACCAAAGUAUGUUAUCUUUAUUUAAAGGAAGCUAUAAUAGAUAGUCUCCAAGAUGGCAGACUUUAGUUCUUUCCUUCCUCAGAUUCAUGGGCUGCUUCUCACCCCUUAAAUCUGGUCUACCUGACCAACAGAAUAUGGUAGGAGUGACAUUCUGGAACUUCUAAGGCUUGGUUUUAAGAAGCCUUGCAAUAUAUGCCUGGAUCUCUUAGAACCUUCAAUACUGGAACACUUGCUUUAGAAAUCGGCUACCAUCCUGUGAGAAGUCCAAGCCACAGAGAGAGGCCAGAAAUAGUUGCUGCAUUUAAGAGCCCUAGUUGAGCUCUCAGCCAACAUUCAGCAUCACUGCCAGCCAUGUGAGUGAUGCUGACCUUGGACGUCCAGCUUAGUAGAACCUUCAGUCCUAGCCAUUCCAACUGCAAGAUAUCCUGAGUGAGAACCAGUUAGCUGAGCCCAGUCAACAGAGAUGUGAGAGAUAGCAAUGCACUGUUCUGAGACACUAGGUUUUAGGGUAUCUGUCCUGUAGCAGUAGGUAAUUAAAGAGGAAUGACAUGCUAGGUAGGUUGGGGAAGAUAGGAGAAGACCUCCUGAUAGCCACUUUGAAAGGCUUUAUUUCUCAGGAUUUUUUGCCCCUGCAUUCGCCUAACACUAUUCCGGCUUUCUGAGCUGUGUCUGGCACAUGGCACCACAUAAACCUUGUACUGCUAACUGUGCCAUGUAUAUUGGUCUCCUCAGGUCAAUGGUGGACACCUUGAAAGUAGGGACCUAUUUGGUUUGAUUCCUACCCUCCUUAGCACGGACAGAUUUGUCAAGCUGUUCCAGUGGAUAAAUAAUGGAGGAUGGCUGCUGGAAAAGCAUCUUGAGGUGCUUAUGUGGCUUGGCUUCUGAUCUUUGACAUUUGAUAGCUGAUGAACAUGCUAUUUGGGCCCACCCGGGAGCCAGCCACACCAUGGGGGAGUCUGAACCUCACCCACACUGUGGCUGCUCAGGGGAAGGAGACCAGGGCCAAGAAUGCAGUUGCUAACCUCCUGCUUAGAUUUGCCUCUUUGGGGGCAACCCUCGAAACCUAAAGAAGAGCUAAAACUGUGUGGAUGGGAGAACCCAGGAGAAGCUCAGAACCUAUUAUAGGAAGGAGACAGGGUCAAGAUCUCCCCCAGCUGCCCAUCUAGGGAUAUGGAUGUUUAAGCCAUGCUAGGGUCAGAAGUGGCAACAUAGGUUAGCUUGAGUAGAACCUGGUGCCUGUGCAGGAACCCUGCCUUCUGUGGGCUACUUGGGAGGCCAAGGAGGGAGGAUGGCUUGAGUCUGGGAGGUCGAGGCUGCAGUGAGCCAUGUUUGCACCACUGCAGCACAGCCUAGGCAACAGAGUAAGGCCCUGUCUCAUAAAAAUAAAAAGUCUGGAGAGCCCAGUGCGUAUGCAGAGCUUGGGAGAGAGAGAGAGGAGAAAGGCAGGACAAAGGUGGCUCGGGAGGCGGUCCUUCAUUCUGCCAAUAAACAUUCUUUUGUAAAUCGUAUCUGGCUUGAGGCACAGGGUAGGCAGAAAAGAGCAAGGGAGACAAAGUCCCUGUCUCAGGUAAAAUACCUAGAGGAGUUGUGGCUCCGAUACACAUCUCAUGACACAGGCAGAGCUUAGCUGACCAUGGGUAUGGGGGAGCUGUGGUCUUCCCUCCUCAUUGUAUCCCAGUCUUUUGGCUUUGUGAAAGACCUGGAACUCCUAUGCUAUGAGGUGGUAAUGAAUGUGGGCAGUAGAGCCACAUGAUCUAGUCCAGGUCCCGGCUGCAUCACUUAUUGGCUGUGUCACCUCGGGCAAGCUACUUAAACUCCUUUAGUGUCUCAUCAGCAAAAACAAUAACAGUAACAGUGCUUCAUCUCAGGGUAGUCUGAGGAUUUCAAGCGAUCCUCCUGGUAAAGUGACCCCUUAGCUCCACGUGUAGCACCGCAGGCGCUCCGGAGCCACCUGCUUCUAUCCUAUGUACUUCCCACAAGGCAUGGGAGGGCUCUGGAUGUGAAAUUAUCUGCAAGGUCCAAGUAACUUUUGCUUAGAAAAAACAAAAGGGAUGAUGAGAGAAGAAGAGGAAGUCUCACAUAGGAAUGAAAUUGCCCAGGGCCCUGUUUCCCGAGAAGAUCACACAGGAGUCAUAUGACAUUUUUCUGACUUUCCUGGUCAGGGUGCUUGCCUGUGUCCCACCACCAGGAACUGCCCACGCAUGCUGAGUUUCAAUAGCACUGAGAUCCUAGGCUGCUUUUCCUGAAACUCAGAAGAAGCUUGGGCUUCCCUACCACAAGACCAGAGGUGGCUCCCAGGUAAUUGCCUGGUAGAUACAAGAGCCAUAGAGGACUUGGAAUUAUGAGGGUAGGGAACUGCAGUUAGGGGGAUCCCAGAGUUUCAGGAAGCAUUUUGGUUCCAUCCCUUGACUCCACUUCAUGGUCUGGCAUAUGGAGGUACCAGAAGUGCUAGGAGAGCUGUGAUUGGCAGGCCUUGCUCCCUGCCCAUCUUCCCUCUUAGCUUUCCCAGAACCAUAGCCCCCUUCAGACUGGGCAUAUGGGCAGAUAACACAGGAUAUCGUGCUGGGGACGCAUUUCUGAGAGGGGGUGACUGCCCUUGCCCAUAAGUAUGAGUUACCUUUGCCAAAUAUCCCUGCAGUGUAAAGUGAUCGGCAAAGGGGACCACGGUCCUUUGUUCUACACCCAUCGAAUGUGCUGAAAUCAGAUUCUUUUCCAAGCAACACAUCCACAUUAUGCCACCAUUCAGACGACACCAAGAGCUAAUCAUCCUAAGUAUGAGAUGUGUUCUCUGGUGAGAUGCCUGCACCUCCACGGGGAAGGUCAUUCUCUUGCAAAAAUGCCCACUUCCUCUCAUCUUUCAGGGACCCCCUUCCUGACCAAAAAGCUCAAGACUCAACCUCAGGAGGAGAGAGACCAUGUCUGCAGGAAUCAAAAUGAAUCAGCACCAAUCCUGGCCCAGGAUGAUAUGGGUUGACUGAAUCAGUUGUUCCCCAUCGAGUGUCCUGGAAGUCAGAAUGGCUCUUCCCCUGUGAUGGCCCUGGGCUUAGGCCAUCUGGCCCCUGUGGAGAGUCUAAUCCCAAGUGAGAAUUCUGCUCCUGAGAGGGCCAGGACCAGACAAAGUCUCAGGGCCUUAAGGCAGUGACUCUAGGACAGAUGGGACUCUGGAGGCCUGGAUGGUAAAGGAGUAACUGGAGCUCAGGGAUGCAGGCCAGGUUAGAGGCAUGCUCUCCCAUCCAUUCCAGGUGCCCAGGUUCCAGGCUGACCCCUCUUUUAGGAAAGAAGUAAAGACAUUAAGAGUAACCCUCUGUGGGCCUGUGCUGACCUAUCUGCCACCUCAACCCCUGGGUCUGCCAGAGGCAUGAGUGACAUGGGAAAGGGGAGUGACUUGGUGGCUGCUUGGUCUGUCUCCUGUACCCCAAAGCUCUGGGUUUGAUUACACUCACUGUCACGGUGCACAGAACCUGCGUCACCACAGGGGAAAUCAGCUGGGUCCUGAUUGCUGACAGCAUUGUUUUAUUCUUGCUAAGCUACUACAUCUUGGCUCUGUUGUUAUGUUUCCAAUAGCAACAGGAGGAAAGGCAACUUUUUCUACUUCGAGAGUUUAUUUUUCCUCCUGUAGGAUGGGCUGUAAAGAGCCCAGGGCCCCAGCCUGAAGACAAGAUGCCCUGGGGGACCGUAAGGAGAAGGCCAGUUUAGCUCUGCCCCAGGCAAACGGGGAGACUGGGGUCAUGGAGGAACCAGGAGCCAGGAGCUAUCAGCUCUUCUGGAACUGGGCUCAGCUGCCCUCUUUAGUUUUGAAUGGUUACAAAAUAUCCAUGGUGGCUGAAUGGCAAGAGAAGAAAGUUGGCUAUGGAGAAGUGCAGUGACAUCAUCAGCACCUUGGGCAUCACUUGGGAUGUGAAGACAAAGAGAAUUACCCUGCAAGCGUGGAUGAAAAAUAUAGGGGUUCUCUCUGGCAAGGGGCUUUUGCUUCCCAUUGAGGAAGGAGCUGCCAUCAUGAAUGGGUGGAUGGAUGCAUGGACAGGUGGGUGGGUGGAUGAAUGAAUGAAACAAUGAGCAUGGGAUGGGAUUUUCCAGGGAUUGAAUGAGUGACAAAGGAAGGAAAAAUAAGUAAAAAGUCAGGAAAUGCAAUGAGGCGGUUAAACUAUCUUACGUAGAGAUUGUCAAGGAGUGAUUUGGAAAGGCCUUACCCCCCUCCCCUCCAGUCUUCAUUGGCUUCCCCUAAAGUCAUUCUAAAUAAAUAAACAUGCAAUCUAAGUGAAAAAUAGAGUGUUUACUAUACAGAACAGCCUGAUGAAGGCCCCCUAGCUCCUGCAUUGCCCAACAUUCCAUCCAUAGGUUCUCCUUUACAGAAACUCCUGAGCUGCUACUCAUCAACUGCAAGGCAUUGUGUCUGCUUUCUCCAAAUCCCAUCCCAGACCAAUUGUAUUCGGGCUGUGGACAGACAGGUGAGGGCCUGAAACAUGAUUAGAGGACAUUGGGAAAAUAAACUUUAGAUUCACUUGAGAAUAGGAAGAGUUAAGGAACCUUAAGCCUUUCAGUCACUCCUACUUAAGGAUUUGGGGUAUUAAUUAACAAUAGCAAAUCAUUGGGUAGAUUGUCUCUGCUCUCCCUUCAGUAAAAAAUGUUAAGUACAGCCUUUCCCCAGGGAAGGACCAGUAGGAAUAGUUCACUGGGGCCAGGGUCAAGGGUUAGGGGUCAAAGGACUAUACUCUCUAAGCCUUGAACCAAUAGUGUGAGCAGCUAGUACAGAAGUGAGCAAGGCUCUUCUUUCAUCGAAGGUUCUUAAUCAGAAACCAGAGCUGUCUAGAGGGCCACAGUGAGUCAGAUUACAACAGCUACCCAUGGUGGGGAUGGGUCAGAAGGGGUCAUGUAGAGGCUGUAGGUAAGUUUGCUAUUCUUAGGCCCCUACUACCUCAGGGGUCUGCUGACUCACUUGGGAACCUCUGGACUCCUGGGUAGAUCCAGUCCAACAACUUGCCUAGUUCUUGGGUAAUCUUGGAUUGCCCUUAAUGCUAAUAAAUAAUAAGACAAUAUGGACUUUUUUCUCUAAAAGAAAGAUGCAAUAUCAUUUUUAAGCCAAUGCAAGAGGUAAGGUGAGGAAGUCUGAUUCCCAGAGAAGCAUCAGUUUUACCCCAGAUCUUAGAAGGACUCCUGGAGGGAAAGGGAGAGAGAGGGGCUAACCCUGGAGUAGUGACCCUGGAAGCUUUGGUACUGAGUCCCAACAGGGGUAGGAGAAAGGUACAUUAUAUUUCGGGCAAGGAUCAAAUGAAAGUCUAGGAAAAACAUCAACCUUGGAGACUGAAUAGGCUUGCCACAUUAGAAGCCUCAAAAAGGGUCUUAGGUGUCCCUUUGAUCAAGGAGUAGACAAAAAAGGUGCCCCAUGCAGAAAAUAACCUCCUCAGGAAGGCAAGUAGGUUUAAUGGGUUUUCACAGAAGGGUGGGAGACCAUUUCAUUUUCCCUUUCUUAGGACAGGCAUCUGGGGAUGCUUGCCCAGGAGGUUAUAUGUUCACUGUGGCCUAAUGUCUUUCAGAGUAGACUGUCACUAACUCUGAUUCCUCCUGCUCAUGGAUUCCUUCCACCAGACCUUUGGCUUCCAUUUGUAAAUGUGCUUCAGCCUGAGGGUGGGGGAUUGGAGGGAACUGUAGUACCUGACUGUCUAACUUGCUUCCUUGACUUCAGGACUAACUUUUUUAAAACUCAUGACUUUUCCUUCUUUAUUUAAAAUCUCUAUCUUUUAACAUUUUAAUUAACUCAUUUUAUUGAUCUAUCUUUCUAGUUAAUAAACAAAAAUAAAUCUUCUCCAGGGAGCAUGUAUCAGAAGGGAAAAGAGUUCCUACUGGCUAGGGCUAAAAGCUGAGUUGCUUGUGUGAACUUGACCUUGAGCAUGAUCCCCAAAUGACAGUUGUCUCCAUGUGAGUGGUUUUUAUCUGGUCUCCUGCUCUCUUAGCCCUGACCAGGCUAUAUCUGUUGCUAAGACCUAGAGGAAGAGACUUGGGUUAGCCCAUGAAGCAGAGCAGCUAAGCUAGGAAUUCUAAGAACAAGGGACAAAAGAAACAGCAGGUAGGGAAAGUGGAGGGGGCACUUCUUUCCCCAGAUCUGCUGCUACGGUACAGCCUCCUGAAUUUGAGUUUCUCAAGUAGUCAGGGCUAGGCUAAGGGCAAACUGAGGCUACAGUUAGUAAAGUGAUCUGCCUAAUGCCUUACAAUUACUGGGCACUAGACGUUUUACAUUUAGAGGCAGCAUCAACAACCCUGUAGUAUCAGUCAGAAUUCUGGUGGAAAAAAAGAGGAGAAUUUAAUGAAGGGACUGUUUAUCAAGCUAUGGGCAGGGUUUAGGGGAACUAACAAAGGAAGGUGCAAUACUUUAAGCUUAAUAACAUUGAGGGGGCAUUACCAUCCUUAAAUCCAAAUAAUCAAGAGGAAGGAAUAGUUAGGAGAAUCCACAGAGAGUACCUGUAAGGAGGGGGCUUCCUCAUAAGAUGGUGACAGUGCAACUUUUGGCAGAGGGGCAAAACUAAUCCACAGUGAUUUGACAAAAGAGGAACCAGGAGAAUAAACAUCUCUUCUGUCAUGUAGUUUCCUGUUUGUAUCUCUCUUUCCCUGGGCACAACCAGAAACUAGAGGUCAAAGGUACCCAUUGAUGAGUCUAGACAAGUCGACAGCACAAAGGGUGGCAAGUGAAUCUGGAGAGCAAAUGUAAGAUAGCCAGCCUUCCGGGAACACAGAUGAGAUUUGUUUGUAGUAACUUUCAAAACUGUUUGCAUCCUUCUCCAUUGCCAUACCUGUUCCUGCAUGGUUUGCAGAUGCUAGAGUUUAUCUGCUGCUUCCUUAUAUCCUGGAACCCCCAGCCAGGUUAUCAGUGUCUAGUUUCUGGACCUGCCUGCUAUCAUUCCAUUUCUUUAUCAAAACCUGUUCUUAAGAUUUUUGCCUCUGGCCAUGACAAAGCAACAGGAUCCAGAUUUACCCUUCCCCUGUACACAACUAGAAAACAACAAGAUAAAUGUACUGAUGGCUUCAGAGAC